GGGCGGCGGCGUCGUCGCCUCACGGAGCCGGAAGCGACGAGCGGCGGCGGCGGGCUGAUAACAAGCUAGAAGAAGAGAAAAAGAGACUAUGUUCAGCUUCUUCCGAAAAGGUCAAGAUUCAAAGAAAAUUACAGUGCAAGAGAGAGAAGCAGAUGGAUUUGUUAUUGUGGGUACAAACUCUUCUUCAAGAUUGUGGAAGAUACAAUUUCUUAUUUUCCCCUCAUGUUUUAAACAAUGAAACAUUAUUUCUUCUCAGAACAAGAAAUCGCAGAGUUACCGCUUCUAACUUUAUGGUUAGAGUUGCAGAGAGAAUAUCUUGUUACAGCUGUAAGCUUCCCUCCUUCUAAUGUUAUCCCCAAAGUCUUUUCAUACUAGAAGGCAAGAUGUGUCUGUGUAUUGCCAGUCACACAGUGAAUGUAAUGUUCUGAUUCAGAAUAUGACUUUUGAUUAGUUUGAUGAAAACUGAACAGUUUAGGAUUUUCAAAGUCUUUCUGUUAUUCAAAACUUAAUCUGAAGUGUACUUGCCUGUGGCCAGGCUAAAUCUACACCAUUAAGUAAGUUCUGUCACAGUUCUGUAGGAUGGCUCAAGCACACAGGAGAAACAGAAUUUAUUGCUGUAGUGCUGUAACUGAUCCUUUUCUUCUUCCUCUUCUGAAAAUUUGUAUUUUUCUCCUUGUAAAACUGUCAUCAUCAGUGUUCAAUUUCUGUUGCUCUGAUUAACUGAGUUCUUUUCAGGAAUCUUAUAGGAAUCUAUGUAAGUGGUAUUUGAGCAUUCUGAAGUGAGGAAAGCCUCUGAGUUAUCAAAAUCUAACUAUCUGAGCUAACUCUGAGCUAUCAAAAUCUAAACAAAUAUAAAAAAACUAACAAAAUCUAUCUUAGGAUAACUUACUCAUGUUCUUAAAACAAAUAGCCACAACUAGCUACCAGUUGUUAAAAUAGAUCCAGUUUCACGUAUAUAAUAGUUGUCUUCCACUGGAUUUUCUUCAUAUGGACUUGUCUACUCACCUUGGUUUUGAUGACUACAUUAAAUAA